rnacentral:lncRNA from 1 species
GGCAGUUAUUUGCCUGAUAUCGGAUGAAGACGGACUGCGAAUAACAAUGGCUGUGAUUUCAUAAGAGCAGCCUCCAGCUUAUUGAAAAAACUGCUGCAAAGGUUCUUUCCCACCACCUCUGCACAAGGAAAAUGCAUCAUUUUGGAAAAACACCCUGUUAACUUCGGGCUAGUUCAUCUUGCUAAAUAACCCAAGCUGGUGACUGUGGCGUGACUAUUUCACAGACCUACAAUGCCACCACCGCCACAAUGCAGGUAGCAACUCCUCUGUCUUUUCAGCGCUCCCAGGCACUUCUGCUCACCCGUCUCACAGCUUUGCUCCCAAUAAACCACAGAGGAAAGAGAAGUUAUCUAAUGCUGCCCAGAAACUACGGAGCGGGAUGCAGAGAGCUCUGUGUUUCCUUGCUACACCUCUUUUCUGCUGUCCAGGCUGAGCUCAUGCUCUCAGAAGUUCCUCUUUUGGUGGAAGUAACGUGUCCAGCACCUCUCCCAUCCUACAGUGAACUCGCUGGUCCCUUAUUUUCUGCGUAGACUAGUGUGUAUGUAGGUUACUGUGUGUGUUUGUGCAUGUGGAGAAGAUAUACCUGUUUAAAUUUGUGGGUAUGCGUGCUUGUUAGGAGUUCCAUAAUUUCUCCUGGAGUUUCCUUAUGUGUAAAAUGGAGAUGAUAACACGUAAUUACCUAUCUUGCAGGGCUGUUGUAAGGACAAAUUAACCAAUGCUUCUGUGGGUGUUUAGAGAUGAAAAGCAUGAUAUUAAGACUAAAUAUAAUGAUUGAGUGUUGUAGCAGAGAGUUUGUAUUUAUUAUGGUGAUUGAACAUGAGACGAGAGUGCUUUGUGGGUGUUUAUUUCUUGUGCAGCACCAAGUAUUUGUGGCAGGUGGGAAGCUAAGUUUGGGGUAGGUGUCAGAUAAACGGUUAAAGAUAAUCUUUAACCUUAUAUUCUGAUGAUUUUAUUAUCUUAACUAAAGCUGAUGCUGAACAAGGGAGAAGAGAAUAGGGGAAUGAAAAUAGGUCCAAGCUGUAGAGGAAAGGAAAGGAAUGAAAAUAAAAUGCAAUUAAAGAUCA